CGUCCCUGGGCCGCUCGGGGCGUGGCCGCGCGGCGGUACCUCAGGGUUGCACAAACCGAGGGGCGGGGCCGCUCCACAGGCCAGUGGGGAAGGGGCUCUUAAAGGCACACGCGCCUGCGGGGCUGCCCGCGCUGCUCUGUCACCCGGCAGCCAAGUCGCGGGGGAAGGAACAGCGCGGCCGGGCCGGCUCUGCGCCCGCUUCGCUGCCUGCCUGCAGCCCAGGAGGAGAUGCCGCGGGCCGGGCUGCUUGGCCCGGCUGUUAACCCCCGGGAAGGCUCCGCGGCAGCCAGGGGAGCCGGGUUUCGCCUCAGGCGGGGGGUUCUCGGUCUCCGCGAGGUGGUAGAAAGACGAGGAGAGCUGAUGUCACCACGAGGAGAUGGUUGCCAGUGGGUAAAAGCCAUGCAGCCAGCAAUCAUAUGAUCUUUCUGUAUCUGGCAGCAAAAAGAAAAUAGCAAUGCAGAUCUUGAGGUAAGUCUUGCUAAAAAGGCAACAGUGUUUUCAGAAAGCGUAGAGCAGAAUAGAAAAUAUAUAUGCAUGCUUAUUUAAUUAGUAUUUACUCAUACAUGGAUGCAGAUAUACAACACCAACAACUGGAAGUGCAUCAAGAGAUCUCUGAUGUGCUUCACAAAGUGAAAUUAGUGAUGGUAUUCCCUAAUAUUCCUGCACUUCAUAAAAAGGUCUGAGCUACCCUUUUUAUCUUUGCUGUACAUGAAAUAAUAUGCUUUCUGGUGAUUUUAAUGCCAUCUCUAAUUUGUUUCCUCCUAGUAAAACUGCAGCCCCUCAGACCUGUCUUCCCCUUCCUAGGGCUGUAUGCUAUAGCGAGGUGUCAGUCCCUGCUGCGGAAAGAAAGGCUGCAGCUUUGAAAAGCACCAGCCUCAAAAUAAAUAUAACACUGUGGUCCAAAUUACCAGGGAUGCUUCAAAGAAUGGAUCAUUUUUCAAAUUACCAGAGCAUGCAGGUGAAUAAAAGGAGACUGCCAAGCUGAAAAGGCAGUGGGACAGACAGACGAGGUGACACAUGGCAACUGCUGUAUGGUCUGUCCCGAUUAAAAUGAGAUUAACUCCCUCUCCCAGUUGCCAAAAGCUGUUCUAAUACACAAAGUACCUACAACCUGGUGACUCCAGUGCAAUUACCUUCCAAAACUACUAUCUUGCACUUCAGUUAUGGUCUUUCUGCUUUACCUUCUCUUGGUGUGUUUUUUUCUGCAGCCACCGACGCUUUCCUGCAUGGGAUUUAUCCCUUCCCAUACACGCACCCUGUGAAAGUGCGCCUGUCCCGGCUGCUGUGGAACCGCUCAUGGAGGGGCAGCUGGUUGUGGCCCUGGCUCUCCACAGCUGAACCCACGCAGGGACCUGGCAGAGAGCCUGGUGGUAGUACUGACAAAACUCGAUCCUCCAAGGUACCACAACAGAGGGAUCCACGUGGCAGGAGGAGGAUUCCCCAGAACUGAGUCAGAAAGAAAAUGCACACAGGAAAAGUUGCUUUGUUUUCCAGUCCUCGCUGUCUGAGCCUUCUGCUUUCCCCUUCCCAGCCCCGCAGACAAGCCAGGUGGCGUGUCCUCCGUUAUCAUGGCUCGUCCUCAGCGCAAACACCGAUGUUACAGGAUCUCUCUGGGGCAUUUGGGUCACUCUCAGGAAUGAAACUGUCCUGAAAGAGAGCAGAGAAUUGCGACACUUUCAAGCACUCUUCAGAGCAACACCUUUACUGUACUGUCCUGAGAGUUGGGAUGGGCCUUCCAAAACCGCCAGGAGCAAAGAGCAGGGCAAAAAGGGGAGGUGACCCCAUUCUAAGUGCCUACAAACCUCAAGUUUUUCUGCUGCCUUUCUGUGCUUCACCUUCUCAUUGCUACUUGCUUAAGGUGUAGGUGCCCUAAGCAGCUCCAAGCAGGAAUUACCUGGUACAUGAGACUAGUUCGUAUACAGUGGUUGCAAACCAAAGAGUAAAAAUCAAGCAGAUUUUAUUACUUUGUAAAGAACUAUAGAGCUAGCAGGCUGCCCUCCGGCUGCUGAUGCUACUAAAACCAUUUGAAUUGACUAAGUUAAGAUUUCCAAUACUCUUUGCUUUUGGAUGCCCAAACCCACAGACAGCAUUCACAAAUUACUAUCGGGGCAAGACUAAAUCUACUGUCUUUCCAUGUUGCCACAAAACUUCUCAAAGUCUGUGAAGUAAGAAAACAACAUCCCACCAAGGCUCUGUAGCAUCCCCAGCUGAUUCAGUCUGCUUGGCAUAGGAAAGACAAAUUCAAAGAACAGAGCCAGAGGGGUAGAUUAAGCAAUAGAUCCCAUAGAUUUUUGGACCAGACUGUGUUUGGUUUCUGCAGAAACCCAACCCCCUGCCUCUGUACAUGUUUUCCAGAUGAUGGUCACAGUAUACCCCAUAUAGUACCCCUGGCUUUGCAAUCCAUUACUAAAACCUCAGGAGAGAAAUGAGGCCUCCAGUCCCCAAUAAUCUGACUGAGAAGAACAAAUGAGAUUGUAAGAGAGGAGCAGGUUGUACCAUUUCACAGCAUGGUGACUAAUUGUUGUUCUUCCUUUCUCAUGCUAUUUUACCUAAAGCUGCUUGAUAACUUGCAGAUAAAAUAACAUACAACCAUCAGGACUCAGAACCAGCCUGCAGGUAAGUAGGCGCUUGCAAAACCUGUGAUAGUUACUGCCUGUGUCCAAUCUCCUGCAGACAGCCUUUCCCCACACAUGAAAAAGAGCCGCUGGAGUGUGGCUCAAUAAAUGACACUGUCCCCACAGUGGGCAUCCCAGCCCCACGGCACACCUGACAAUCAUCAGCAGCUGAUAUGAUACAGAGAAUUGACAGAGCCCAGUGCAUUACAGUGAGGAUAUUGGGCUGAUUCCACUCUGCCUGAGGAACGGGUUUGAAGCCACCCCUCCUAUGCAUCAGCACCCCCAUGCUCCCAGUCCUCAUCCUUGCCCCCAGCUAAGGAGCUCCACCUCAGAAGGAAUCGGACGCCACCUUUUCCCUGCCACCUCCUUUGCAGUUCUGGGCACUGAGCUGCGGAUGCUGAUCGCAUCUGGCUAUGCUGCCACCUCCCGAGAGAAACCAGCAUCCCAGCUUUUGCUCAGAGGAGAGGACAUGUUCUGCAGCCAGCCUGCGCAGAGGUCCCCUGGGAGGGCUCUCUGUGCCUCCAGUACCCUGAGGAGACAAGAGGUGGGCCCAAGAAUCACCAUACCUGUAGGUCAGCUGCAGCCUGGCCUCCUCUUUUAUUCACAAAGCUGAAGAAGAGAUGGGAGGGUGAGACUGCCUGCAACAACCAAAAUAAAAAAUGGACAUGUGGGAAAGAGUGAGGGCUUGAGAGAGAAAGACUCCUUUAACCUGAGCUUGGAUCCUGAAGAGAUGUCAGAGACAGAGGCUGAGAUUGUAAUUCAGCAGGAGGGCAAGUCUUUCAGAGGGUAAUAGGAAAGAGGUUAUGGGAUAGUUCAAGUGCAGGAGACAGCACCACUAACCAUACUAGAGACAUCAUUUGGGCACCAGGUCAUAGUCUGUAUCUUGCUUAGAAAGGAGUUUUCAAAGUGCCUUUUAUCCUUUAAAGGAGGAAAAAAAAAUAUGGCUCAAUAGAAGUAGUCAUAUUCGUCUACUACUGCAUGUAAACAACAUGGGAAGAUGCUGCCAGGCUAAUUAGCAGUAGCCAGGAAAACCCACAAGAGUAAGUAAAGUAGUAACAGAAGCUUGCCUGCAUAUAAAUCAAUGAACUCCUACUGAUUUGGGAAAUCCAUGAACCUUCAGUAACACAGGAAGAGGCAGUUCCAGACUGUUGUGUGGGAGACACUAGAACACUGUUUGCAGAUAUUCUUAUCUACAACUUCUUCCUGACAGUCUUGAAUGUGGGGAGAGAGUCACCAAGAGGGAUUAAGCACUAAAAUCAGAAAAAAAGCAUUAUCAACAAAGUGAGGUCUAGAAGCUACCUCCACUGAGUCAAGUGCUUUGAUGCUGUUUGAGAGGAGGUGGGAACCAUCAAGCAGCUACAGCUUUGCAUUUGUCUUCCCCCAUUCAUUCUUUGUCCUCUUUCCAAAAAAUAUGGUAUCCCAGAAUUCCUCCAGAGGAAGAACCAAGUCCCUAACUGCCAGCCCUGCUCAAUAAGACAAAUUAAUUAGCCUUUGCUAUCUUUCUUUGUCACAAUAGGAGAGAUGCUGCUGCCAGUAAAAGCAUUUUGUUGAAGGCCCUGCCCAGCAGAGUCAUAGCAAAGGUACCAUUUGGGAGUUGAAAAUUGUGAAAAUCCAAAUCCAAGGUUGUUUUAGUUCAUUGGUUGUUUUUGUGGGAGAGGGCUGGGGGUGGAGUUCAGAUGUGAUUUGGAAGAAAAAAAAAAAGAAGUAAUAUUAUACCACUUAAUCUUGGCAAGAUACGAAAGAAUGGAAAGAACAAACUAGGUCACCCACAGACACAACAAUUAGGUUAAAAAACUAUAUGGAUGUUACAGAGAAAUUGAGAGCAAGGGAACCAGCAGUCCCUUGCCUUCCAUACUAGCAUAAGCAGGAACAAAGAACUGUGAUACCUAACUCAAACAGUUCUCAGAAAGCAAGAUUUCAGUUAUUUCUGGUAUUUAACUGCCCUCUGUUGUGAACACUUAGAUAAAGACAAUAUACUGAGUUCAGCCUUACUUUGGCCUCCACUGCCAUUAUGGCAUCUGGGUCAGGGAAUCCCACAAGAGAUGGUCUGUCUGCCAGUUCUAUACCAAACAAUAAAACAAAUUAAUAAACUGUCACACUUCUUUGCAGGUUCAUAUACUUUGAACAUAUCUUGCUGUGUCAAACAUCCUUUCAUUUAAUUUCAAAGCUCUGCACAACUAGAUCUCCAGAACCCCAAUGGAAAGGAGGGCCAUUUGAAGCAGCGAGCUUUCUGUGCUCAGAAAGCAUAAGCCCCUCAACCCAAACAGCUUCAGGAGAUGCAGAAAAUGAGAACCAGCAGAGAGACAAGUGUAAGGUGCAGGGCCUAGUGCUCUGGUAAUUUUAGCUUUCAAUAAUUUGCCACUGCAAAGUGAUGUAGUCCCUUCUUCUCCCUCCUCCAGUCACUGUGUUGGUUUUUUUAUUUCUCCCUCUGCUCACCACAUUCGCAAAUCAUAUUCUCAGCCCGGUGUAAGGAUUCACUGAUUGCUGUCUGUGCUAGGAGGAAGGAGAAAGAGCCAUAUCCAGCACCAGGAACACUCUCCCAUGCAUCUGCAGUAUCAACAAGACUUAAAAAAAAAAGAACAGAACAAGAGGCAAGAGCUUCAGGGAGGUUUUAGCAAGACACAUAGGAAGUUCUACAUCAGGUGGGAGUUUACUAUAACCACCAAGGAGUUAGAUUCUUUACCUCAAUAUAUAGAAAUACUCAUAAGUUUAUUACGGAAGAUCCUUUUGUUCAAGUUCACUCACAUCCCAUAACCCUCUUUUGCGAGUCUGCAGUCAUUCAAGACAACGGGUUGCGCAGGUCUGAAUGGGAAUAUUAUAAAUAAAUUUGAAAAACUAGGAAAGCUGGAAAAAGAUGCUAAAGAUCUGACAACACCACACACAUACAAAGCAUCAGCAGUUACCAGACCCUUUUUGUUCCUUGGAGAAGGAAAAACAGUGCCCCAUUCUCUUACCUUCCUUUAUUUGUACAAUGAGUGACAAAGUACCUACUUUUGCAUUUAGAUACAUUUCUCCUGCUGGGCAGCUUCUGCAAAUGCCCUUCACAUUGCAGCCUUUAGUUUGAAAGGGAUCUGAAGUGAGGAAGAGCCCUUGUAACUCUUCCUUUCAUACAGAAAAACUGUCAAUUGAUUCAAACUAUUUGGAGAGUAUAAGGAAAACUCUUCACUUUCUCUUCAGUUUUAGGAUGUGGAAAAUAGAGCAGAUGACAAUUUAUCUGAGUUAAGAGUGGGAUGGGGGAGGUAGAGGGACCAAUAUCCUCCAGAAGCUCAUGAGUGCAACUUGCAUUUCCAUGUUGUCUGAUUAAUAAUUAAGGUAGCUGCUUAUGCUAAACCAGUUUUCCACUCCAUUUAUCUCACUAUUCCCUUCUAUUUGCUCCUUUCACCCAUUUUCUCUCACAGUGUGUUUUAUUGUAUGAUUUUAUGUUUGGAUUUGACUCUAUUUUUAAACUCAACCAUUAAAAACAAGAUUGUGGGUGUGUUGGUGUGUAGAAAUUA